CUUGGUCAUUUAGAGGAAGUAAAAGUCGUAACAAGGUCUCCGUUGGUGAACCAGCGGAGGGAUCAUUACCGAGUUUACAACUCCCAAACCCCUGUGAACAUACCCAUCGUUGCCUCGGCGGCGCCCGCUCCGGCGGCCCGCCAGAGGACCCCCAAACUCUUUGUUUAUUACAGUAUCUUCUGAGUAACACGAUUAAAUAAAUCAAAACUUUCAACAACGGAUCUCUUGGUUCUGGCAUCGAUGAAGAACGCAGCGAAAUGCGAUAAGUAAUGUGAAUUGCAGAAUUCAGUGAAUCAUCGAAUCUUUGAACGCACAUUGCGCCCGCCAGUAUUCUGGCGGGCAUGCCUGUUCGAGCGUCAUUUCAACCCUCAAGCCCCCGGGCUUGGUGUUGGGGAUCGGCCCGGGCCGUCCCCCAAAUCCAGUGGCGGUCUCGCUGCAGCUUCCUCCGCGUAGUAGCAACACUCGCGCUGGAGCGCAGCGCGGCCACGCCGUUAAACCCCCCACUUCUGAAAGGUUGACCUCGGAUCAGGUAGGAAUACCCGCUGAACUUAAGCAUAUCAAUAAGCGGAGGA
rnacentral:rRNA from 1 species